UUGAAAGGGAAACGAUUGAAGUCAGUCGUGCUGGCGCGAAAUCAACCUUCUCGUCUUGAGAUCACAUGGCGUGGCGAGCCUCAAAACCGUCACGAAGCGUGAACUCUUUGUGAAAUGGAGCACUUUCGUGUCCGCUGGUUAACAUCAAUUUCGAACGUCAUAAAAAGGCUGGAGGGAUGUGGCUCCUUCGGGAGUGUUAUAACCUUUAGCGGAAUGUGGUGUUCGGGAUUGAGGAUUGCAACGAAUACCUUUAGGGCUGUUCCACCUGGCUUCUCUUUGGUAUCCUGGUGACGACAGCUUGCUGACGUCGUUAGGAUUCGCCUUUGAACAGGCUAGAGUGUGGGCAAAUUCGUUAAGGAUGUUGACGUA
rnacentral:rRNA from 1 species